ensembl:lncRNA
UUGAAGUUCUUUUGUCAGAGAUGAACAUUCUGCUGCUGUCAUAUAUUUAUCAUCUGUCAUGCUAUGGGAGAAGCACACAUUAAAUCUGGCACUUGCUAGGCUGUUGAAUUAUUGCUGUUAUGAUUGGGUUUCCCACGUCUUUCCCAUGGAAUUACAGAGCUCAUCACUAUGGCAUCUGCUGGGCCUGCGAUGGAUCAAAGCGAAAGUUAGGAUGGAAAAGCGAGGCUCCUGGAGACAGCUUAUCUACUGUGAAGUCUGCUCUUCUGGUUUGUCCCAACUUUGGAGUUUGGCAGCAACAGGACAGGCACAGAGCUCUGGGAAAGGAAGUGUGUGAAAACUGAAUCUCACCAAUGUCAUGAGCCCCCCGGGAUCUUCAAGGUCAUCUCGUUUAAUUCCUCUACACUGCAGAUGAGAAACUGACAUUCAGAGAGUCAAUAACCACACGGCCUGAGUGUGGUUUGGGCCUUAGCCGUGGAGCUGCCUCAAGCUGGCCUCCUGCAGUGCCCAGCGGCCCACCAGGGCUUGAGGAAGCUAGCACGUGCCAGGCAAUUGCCCAAUGGCUCUCAAGACUCCUGGCAAAUAACUCUAGAAGCAGGUGCUGUUUCCCAAGGAUCAGCAAGAGCGGCACAGAAUUCCACGGUGCCCAGUGCAUGGCUGUUUAAUACGCACAGCUUCCUGAUGGCCCUCAUUUCAGGUUAAUUCCCACAUAAUGAGUGGAAAAAGACCUCAAGCAUGGAGACAUCGUGAAACUGUGCUUCUAAAGACACACAUUGAAGCCCACUUCUGUGCUGAUG